rnacentral:rRNA from 1 species
GAUGAACGCUGGCGGCGUGCCUAAUACAUGCAAGUCGAGCGAACGGACGAGAAGCUUGCUUCUCUGAUGUUAGCGGCGGACGGGUGAGUAACACGUGGAUAACCUACCUAUAAGACUGGGAUAACUUCGGGAAACCGGAGCUCAUACCGGAUAAUAUUUUGAACCGCAUGAUCCAAAAGUGAAAGACGUUCUUGCUGUCACUUAUAGAUGGAUCCGCGCUGCAUUAGCUAGUUGGUAAGGUAACGGCUUACCAAGGCAACGAUGCAUAGCCGACCUGAGAGGGUGAUCGGCCACACUGGAACUGAGACACGGUCCAGACUCCUACGGGAGGCAGCAGUAGGGAAUCUUCCGCAAUGGGCGAAAGCCUGACGGAGCAACGCCGCGUGAGUGAUGAAGGUCUUCGGAUCGUAAAACUCUGUUAUUAGGGAAGAACAUAUGUGUAAGUAACUGUGCACAUCUUGACGGUACCUAAUCAGAAAGCCACGGCUAACUACGUG